rnacentral:lncRNA from 1 species
AUUAGGGCGUGGCUCGAGUCUGUGCUCGGCAGCUCUGGGCAUGCGCACGUUGGAGUCAAGGUUCGCGGCUGCGUACCCUGUGGCGGGAAACGCUGUUUGAAGCUGCCUCUCACUGUGCAACCCAGGCUGCCCUUGAACUCAUGGUGAUCCCCUCCUGCCUCAGCCUCCCAAGUGCUAAGAUUACAGGGAUCGAACUUAGGAUCUUGCGCUUUCGAGGCAGGUGCCGGAACCACUGAGCUAAAUCCCUGGCCUGGUCUGACCUGUUUGUACAGAAUCCCUCUGGCUGCCAUAGGUGAGGACAGGGAAGACACUGAUCUCUCCAGCCCUCUCUGCACCUGGCCUGGCAGAGGCUCCCUGGGACCUCAGGGGGCCGCCCUGCGCUGAGCUCACUGCCCAGCAGGGGGAGACCACGAGCAGCCUCAGGAGGACCUGGGUAGCCGCAGGGCUGAGCCACGGAAUGGGUGGGAUGUGUGAGGGCGAGAGAGAAAUUGGGGUGACUCAAGGGUGUUGGGGUUGCGAAAUUAUGGGAUGUGAGGAGCGGUUGGGGAGCUCAGCUUUGGGUGUGAGAUGCUUGAAGGGACGUACUCGGUGGGGAUGUGGCG